AUUAAUCAUAAGAAUUAAAAAUAUAGACCACUGCUGCGUUAUCAUGAAUAUUUACAUAUUUUCGUCAUCAUUAAGCAGCUGUCUAAAGUAAUGUAAGUGAAUUGGUGAGAAAUUAAACAUAUAGUUGUUGCAGAUGGUAUGCAUGAAAUAAUGAAAGAAUAUUAGACAUAAUUAAAGUAGUGAUUGUUUAAAAAUGAAUUCAUGUAUCUGUGUUCAAUUCCACCAAAAAAGUAUACACACUUCAGGAAAAGAGGGAGUAUGAUAUUUUUUAAACAGAUGGUGUUACCCUGAUAUGGCGGACCCUAGAGGAUGUUAUGUAUAGCAGAAAAACCACUACACUGCGAGCCCUUAGAGAAGAAAUUUAAGAUACAUGUACAGCAAUCUUCAUGACCAAGGUUACCCACACAGCAGUUCACCCUACUAAUAAAUGUCUGGAAGCUAAUGGCUAACAAUUUGACCUCCUCUUGUAAGUGCAGAGUCCAAAGGUAACUUGUAUUAAUCUCAUGAUGUCAAUAAAUUUAGUAUUAAAGUAUUCAUAUAAGUUUUUCUUCGCCUAAAAUGGGUAUACAUUUUUUGGCAGAAUAUAUGUAUAUAUAUUGAACUGACAUAAAUAUGCAAGUGGGGAUCAAAAUGUAGUAAAUAUGAUGUAAUGAAUAUGAUUUGGAAUAAUGAGUCUUCUAGUUCUUUCCCAAAGCCAAGGUGACUAUGAAGGGUAAAGAUUUUUAAAUUAAUUCAAGACCCUGAGGCAGCCAUAACAGCACAGCUAAAGACAGAAGAGAGGACUUCCGGACUCAUCCAGAAAGUGGCAAGAAAGAGGGAGAACUGAACUGAACAGAGGGAGAAGACUAGAAAGUUCUUCGGGAGAAAGAACCCUGUCCCUGCUAUGCCCCAUUCUGCAAUACCUUUCUCCUGGAUGGGGCAGUAUCACUCUUGCUGCAUGUCCUUCUUGUCUUAUUUGUACAUCACCUUCUUAGAUAGUCCCUGACCCCUCUAUUUAAAAUAAAAAACAACCAAGAAGCUUCUCUCUUCCCUGUAUUGUUUUGCUUUAUCAUAUUAGACACUAUUUAACAUAAUAUAU
rnacentral:lncRNA from 1 species